GCCAGGCACAGUGGAACACACCUGUUGUCCCAGAUACUUGGGAGGCUGAGACAGGGGGAUCACUUGAGCCCAGAGGUUUGAGGCCAGCCUGGGCAACUUAGUGAGACCCGUUCUCUA
rnacentral:sRNA from 1 species